ensembl:lncRNA
GCAGAUGUCAUUCAUCUGACACUGCCAAUUGUCAGUCUCCUCCAAAGAAAGUCAGAAGUGAUGCAAUCUGACUCCAGGCCAUCUGUCCGUGCCAGAAGAAAUGAUCGAGGGAGCGGUGAUCAAUUAUUUCUCUGCUUAUGAUCUACAAGGCAGCACUCUUCCCUUUCCAUAAGCAUAUGUAACCCCUGUCUUUCCUUUGUACUCUGGACGCACGUCUUAUGUUCUUCCAAAUGUAUCAGGUCUCCCGUGGUUGGGUCUGCGUGUUGUGUCGUGUGUCGUGUGUCUGUCUUUCUGAUGUCUCCCCAAGGCCUCAUGAGCAGCAGAUGGGUACAGCGGGGUCCGCCAGCCUUUUUGAGCUCCAUAACCAAGAUCAUGUGAUGAUGUGACACCCAAGGGACGACAAGGGGAGAAACUGAUCUCAUCCCUUUUCCAUAUAAGUCACCUCCCUUGUUUAAGCUGUUUUUGAUGUGACUGAUGGAGCAGAGUUGGCGUGCGAGCUGCCGCCAUCUUCUUCCAACUGCGUCAGCUGGUCCUCCGCCCCCCCCCCGCGGCAAGGAGACAUUUACCUGACAGACAUCCUGGCCAGCUGUUCGUCCAGACAUGGUGUCUACAGCUGUCUGUGCAAAGCUCGGUUGCACCUCCAGACGCAGGCCGCAAGCCUGCAGCUUGGAGCUCUUCCCCGACACCUCUGUCUCCUCUCUUUGCUGCAUCCAUGACCUCAACAUGACCUUGACAGCACAACUAUAUGUUUGCAAGACUACCUGUACUAUACUCUUGAAGAGGUAGUGCCGUAGAAAGUGUACUGAACAAAAAUAGUGCAAUGCAUGGUUUUAGACAGAAGCACAAUAU